rnacentral:rRNA from 1 species
GUCAGAGUUUGAUCCUGGCUCAGAUUGAACGCUGGCGGCAUGCUUUACACAUGCAAGUCGAACGGUAACAGGGAGCUUGCUCCGCUGACGAGUGGCGAACGGGUGAGUAAUGCGUCGGAACGUGCCGAGUAGUGGGGGAUAACGCAGCGAAAGUUGUGCUAAUACCGCAUACGUACUGAGGUAGAAAGUGGGGGACCUUCGGGCCUCACGCUAUUCGAGCGGCCGACGUCUGAUUAGCUAGUAGGUGAGGUAAGAGCUCACCUAGGCGACGAUCAGUAGCGGGUCUGAGA